AAUACCGGAUAUGAACUCCUGCCGCAUGGUGGGGGUUGGAAAGUUUUUCGGUGCAGGAUGAGCCCGCGGCCUAUCAGCUUGUUGGUGGGGUAAUGGCCUACCAAGGCGACGACGGGUAGCCGGCCUGAGAGGGUGAUCGGCCACACUGGGACUGAGACACGGCCCAGACUCCUACGGGAGGCAGCAGUGGGGAAUAUUGCACAAUGGGCGAAAGCCUGAUGCAGCGACGCCGCGUGGGGGAUGACGGUCUUCGGAUUGUAAACCCCUUUCAGUAGGGACGAAGCGCAAGUGACGGUACCUGCAGAAGAAGCACCGGCUAACUACGUGCCAGCAGCCGCGGUAAUACGUAGGGUGCGAGCGUUGUCCGGAAUUACUGGGCGUAAAGAGCUCGUAGGCGGUUUGUCACGUCGUCUGUGAAAUCCCUCGGCUUAACCGGGGGCGUGCAGGCGAUACGGGCAGACUUGAGUACUACAGGGGAGACUGGAAUUCCUGGUGUAGCGGUGAAAUGCGCAGAUAUCAGGAGGAACACCGGUGGCGAAGGCGGGUCUCUGGGUAGUAACUGACGCUGA
rnacentral:rRNA from 1 species